ensembl:snRNA U6 U6 spliceosomal RNA
UUGCUUUGGCAGCAGAUAUACUAAAAUUGGAAUGAUAUAGAGAUUAGCAUGGCCCUUGGGCAAGGAUGACUUGCAAAUUCAUGAAGCAUAUUAAAAAAAA